AGAGUGGAACACCCUCACUGGCCCGGGCCGGCGCGGGAGGGCUGUGUGAUGGCCUCGGAGCGCCCGGAGCCGGAGACUACUCUGAGAGUAAUGAACUUCAGACUCAAGGAGGAUUCAUAUGAGGACUUGAAGCUCCAUGAAGGUGGAUUCUGUAAGAACUGAUUGAUGAGCUAGACUUCAUUGUGCCUUUGGAGAGUCAGUCCAUCAUUCAAAAUAACCUUCAAGG
rnacentral:lncRNA from 10 species